rnacentral:tRNA from 1 species
CUUACCUUAGUUUAAUAAGAAUACAGGUUUUGGGGAUCUUUGGUCUCUGUGUAGAGAGGUUUGA